GAUGCUGCAAGCAUCACCUGGUGGGCCUGGAACUCCUGCACGUCCCCCUGGUAGUCUACCUGCACGGUGACGUCACUCAGCUGACCCUGCAGCCUCAUCUCGUGAAGCGAGGCGAGGAUGUUGUCAUGGUGACACUUAGAGUUGAAGAUGCCAGAGGAGCAGACUUGAGGUUUCCAAAUGUCAUCACCACAUCUGCAGCGAGAAGGAUUACCAGCUGCAUCACCGAAACAACAAAAGAUUUGGAGGCGGGAGCCAGAAAAUGACGGCCACGUUACUACAGACAACGCGCCGCAUUGGUGGAAUCCCAGCGCUGUACCAUCACAGUGUCAGCGGAGAGGCAGCAAACACUGGCUGAAAGGUGAGGGACUCAGCAAACAGCGCGUCCCGCCGACGCUGGGCAAUGUUUGCUCGGCUACGGGCGAACUCCUCCACGCAGCCGAAAAUACCAGCGCUGACGUCGACGAUGUGGGAAAAUGUCCACGGUGUGGGUUCAUCUGACGGUACCUCGUCCCCGCAGCGCCGCUCCUCCAUCUGAUGACCCGGCCCUUCAGACCACGUUCAAGCGCUGAGACGCCCUGAUUAGAAAGCCAUUCAUCAGUCCGUGGAGGCCGGUCCGAGUGGAAACACUCUCUGAACGCGGCCCGGAGGUAUUGAUGUUGUUCGGAACAUGUGAGGACAAAUCUCAUUAAACACAUAAUCUUCCCUCUUCUUCGGCCCCUUUGUCGUCUUUCACGUUCCCGCGCUCUCAUUCGCGCUCCUCCGAAAAUGCAAAGGAGGCAUUUUAGUCCUCAUUUAAUUAGCGCGGAAAUAUGCAAAGCAGACUGAAAUGUGGAAUCGAACCGCUUCAUACCCACAAACAAUUAGGCUUUAAUAAAGGUGUUGCCUCCAACCAGUGCAAUAGUUAUAGAUUCCCUCAUUGCUGAAACUCAGAGCUGACCUUAAUUUGUUCCCACCCGUUAGAACGUGCGCUUACUGCGCUCUGAACUCACGUAACCUCUGCCUCUAUCUGCGCAUUGUCUGCAGCAGAACAGAGUGUCAGCCCCUGAAAGCCACAUCUAUUUAUUACACCCGGCGUGCUGAGUCACGCGCGCGCGCGCACACACAUGCUGCGGGGCCCCACACGGCGCGUUUGGGAGCGGCGCACGCGCAGGAAGCUGCAGGUGCGCGCGUGCGUGAACGAUGUUCCAGUCGUGGAUUUCUGAGAUCCUUUCCCGUUCUCCAUCAAAUCUCGAGGACACGCAUACAUUAUCCUCGGAACGUGUGACGGAACGUUUCCAGAUACGGAACGGAGCGGCUUAGAACCAACCGGAACCGGCACCGUGGGGGGCGAGGUUUUUUCUCGUCGGGGUGUGCGCUCGAAAACACAAACCGGACGCGGGCGCGUUAAUUCGGGGCGCCUUUCGCCGCUCUCCGCACCCAACUGCACAUCCGCCGCUACGGACCAACACGUUCAGCCGUUUGAGCUCGCGCGCGCACGUGGUCAACCGUGUCAUCCGGGUUCUGUCCUCCAGGCAGAGCUGUCUGAGGGUUCGACAGGCUGAAUCUGGAACCGGCUCCCCAGAUAUAGACACACAUAUAAUUUGUCUGCGUGCGCUUAAUUUUAACCUACCGUCAUAGAAGAUGAGCAUGAGAUCCGUGAUCUGCACUGGCCUAUUGCUCGGUACCGAGGCGGCCCCGGAGUGAAGCGGGCCCACGUCAGCACCAGUGGAGGUGGGUCCUUCCCCCCGGGCCGGGCCGAGCCGAGCCACCAGCCGCAUGUUUCACGCUGGCCGUCCUGCCUUGCAUCAUGUCCUGAUCACAGCCACAACAACAGACGUGGCAGCGGAGAGGCAGCACCUUGCAGCGCUCGGGGGCUGAGGCAAAACCUGCCAAACUUUGCAUCAGAGCCUGUUUUUUAAAAAGGCCCAAUGCGUCUAAAAUUGCUAAAAAAGUGUAGGUUUUAGUUAUAUGUCGGCGCUGUGAGGUUUUCUGUGUUUUUAAUUGCCUGUAAUUGCAUUGAUCCCCCCUGCUGUGCCGACUAGAACCAAGUCAGCGCCGUCACACGUCCGGCCGCGAUGAAUGGAAGUGCUCCGGCAGACAGGCGUUCCCGCGGCCCGGUCCAUUAAUGCAUUAUAAACGAGGCCGCUCGCAUCCUCCGAGGAGCACGUGAGGCGUGCGAGACACCACAGGCCGGUGUUUCCUGUCUUCCAGUAAGGAGCAGCCGGCACCACGUGAGCCAGCAAGCAGGAAACCAUGUGAUGCGGCAGUCUAGACCACCAGACCCGAGAACGACUGCAGACUCACGGAUCGCUACACAAUGUGCAUUAAAAAUAACCUGUGUUGUCUAUUGCAGGUCCAUUCCGGGUUUUGUUCAGAACAUUUUGACAGUUUAAUUCGCUCCAUUAUUACAAACAUAAGAAAUAGAUGAGGCGUGCAUGGGCUGUUUAAAUAAUGCAUGCAUCUGAUGACUGACAGACAGUGUGUGUUUGUGUUUGUGUGUGUGUGUGUGUGUGUGUGUGUGUGUGUGUGUGUGUGUGUGUGUGUAUGUGUGUGUUUGUGUGUGUGUGUGUGUGUGUGUGUGACUGCACUCUGUGACUCAUAUCAAAGGCUUGAUUUCAGGAUACUCUCUCCAGGUAUUACACAGUAAGGAAAAUCCUGUCCUUUUCAUCUAUGGCAAAGUUACAGUGAUAUUACGUUUGAUGUCGGAGCCA